rnacentral:rRNA from 1 species
GAUGAACGCUGGCGGCGUGCCUAAUACAUGCAAGUCGAGCGAAUGGAUUAAGAGCUUGCUCUUAUGAAGUUAGCGGCGGACGGGAGAGUAACACGUGGGUAACCUGCCCAUAAGACUGGGAUAACUCCGGGAAACCGGGGCUAAUACCGGAUAACAUUUUGAACCGCAUGGUUCGAAAUUGAAUGGCGGCUUCGGCUGUCACUUAUGGAUGGACCCGCGUCGCAUUAGCUAGUUGGUGAGGUAACGGCUCACCAAGGCAACGAUGCGUAGCCGACCUGAGAGGGUGAUCGGCCACACUGGGACUGGGACACGGCCCAGACUCCUACGGGAGGCAGCAGUAGGGAAUCUUCCGCAAUGGACGAAAGUCUGACGGAGCAACGCCGCGUGAGUGAUGAAGGCUUUCGGGUCGUAAAACUCUGCUGUUAGGGAAGAACAAGUGCUAGUUGAAUAAGCUGGCACCUUGACGGUACCUAACCAGAAAGCCACGGCUAACUACGUGCCAGCCGCCGCCGUAA